rnacentral:rRNA from 2 species
UACGGAGGGUGCAAGCGUUAAUCGGAAUUACUGGGCGUAAAGCGCACGCAGGCGGUCUGUCAAGUCGGAUGUGAAAUCCCCGGGCUCAACCUGGGAACUGCAUUCGAAACUGGCAGGCUUGAGUCUCGUAGAGGGGGGUAGAAUUCCAGGUGUAGCGGUGAAAUGCGUAGAUAUUAGGAGGAACACCAGUGGCGAAGGCGGCUUUCUGGACGAAGACUGACGCUCAGGUGCGAAAGCGUGGGGAGCAAAC